CUCUCUCUCUCUCUCUCUCUCGUCUUUAACGUAUCAUGGAGUUUGUUGCCUUGUUUCUCUGUCGUGUUUGUAGGGUUUUCCGGCUCUUGUUUCUAUUACUCCUUUUCGCAGACACCAACGUAAUCCUUUGAAAGAGUAGCCGAGAAAUGUCAGAUUAGUCACUAGCUAGUGCGAUUUCAUCUCGUUGAUGGGGCAAAGGAGUCGGUCGCUUUUGGCACUGGUGCGCCAUUCCUGAUGCUUUGGGCUAGAAAAAGAAGGGGCAACUGGUGUCGAUCACCUGAAGCUGAUGGUUGUCUUUGGAUUCAACCUUGGGAAGAACACUAUCCUGGAAAACGGUGAAGUUGAGAAGUCUCGUCGGGAAGGAUGGGAACAGAGUGAACCUACUGCUAUGGACAAGAGCAGAAAAACGAAUAAAGGCAAAUGAAAACUGCUGGACCCAGUUCAUUCACUCCGGAUGAGUCUGAUGCAUGGGGCAAAUUGAAGUCUAAUGGGAAUUCUGCUGCGUGCGAAUCAGGAAGUCAUGCUGACAAAAUUGAGUGGCCUUACUAUAUAAAAA